AUGAGUGGCCAAAAUGGACUGAAUGCACUUGUUCCCAUCUGAUCUUGCAAGCUAAGCAGUCUGAGAUUGGAACUGAAUCCUGGGUAAUGUGGACCCCCCUCUACAUGUUACACUUA
rnacentral:rRNA from 1 species